UACGUAGGGUGCAAGCGUUGUCCGGAAUUAUUGGGCGUAAAGGGUGCGUAGGCGGCGCGGUAAGUCGGGUGUGAAAUCUCGGAGCUUAACUCCGAAACUGCAUUCGAUACUGCCGUGCUUGAGGACUGGAGAGGAGACCGGAAUUUACGGUGUAGCGGUGAAAUGCGUAGAUAUCGUAAGGAAGACCAGUGGCGAAGGCGGGUAGCUGGGCCGACACUGACGCUGAGGCGCGAAAGCCAGGGGAGCGAACGGG
rnacentral:rRNA from 1 species